UGCUCAGAUUGAACGCUGGCGGCAUGCCUUACACAUGCAAGUCGAACGGUAACAGGUCUUCGGAUGCUGACGAGUGGCGAACGGGUGAGUAAUACAUCGGAACGUGCCCGAGAGUGGGGGAUAACGAAGCGAAAGCUUUGCUAAUACCGCAUACGAUCUCAGGAUGAAAGCAGGGGACCGCAAGGCCUUGCGCUCACGGAGCGGCCGAUGGCAGAUUAGGUAGUUGGUGGGAUAAAAGCUUACCAAGCCGACGAUCUGUAGCUGGUCUGAGAGGACGACCAGCCACACUGGGACUGAGACACGGCCCAGACUCCUACGGGAGGCAGCAGUGGGGAAUUUUGGACAAUGGGCGCAAGCCUGAUCCAGCCAUGCCGCGUGCAGGAUGAAGGCCUUCGGGUUGUAAACUGCUUUUGUACGGAACGAAAAGACUCUGGUUAAUACCUGGGGUCCAUGACGGUACCGUAAGAAUAAGCACCGGCUAACUACGUGCCAGCAGCCGCGGUAAUACGUAGGGUGCGAGCGUUAAUCGGAAUUACUGGGCGUAAAGCGUGCGCAGGCGGUUAUAUAAGACAGAUGUGAAAUCCCCGGGCUCAACCUGGGAACUGCAUUUGUGACUGUAUAGCUAGAGUACGGCAGAGGGGGAUGGAAUUCCGCGUGUAGCAGUGAAAUGCGUAGAUAUGCGGAGGAACACCGAUGGCGAAGGCAAUCCCCUGGGCCUGUA
rnacentral:rRNA from 1 species